UGUGUGGUAUGUCUGAACCAAGUUGACAAAGUAGUUGAAUGGUUCACACGGGCUUUUUGUGAUAUAUAUUUGUUCAUGUUUUUUAUUCAAAGGGUCCUCUUGCUUCACUGCAGACUGCUUCAUGUUGAGUAUUGAUCAGAAGAUUAUCAAUGACCACAUCACUGCCUUCUCCUGUGCCAUCUGCCUGAUGUUUGGCAGUUACUACUGUUUUAAUAUACACUACCCAGUGGGACUGCGGUCAACACUGGAGUUCCUCCAGAGGUGUUUCUUUUCAAUUAAUCCGGAGAGAGGAACAAAAGUUGAGCAUAGCAAGAGGAGGAAGAUCUUUGCGGUCAACCCAAGAGUCCUCACGCUCAUCGCUGACCUUGCAGACCAUGAGUGGACUUAGACCAUACUUUGUGAGUCAUGUGAUAUGAUGUGUAAUGUUGUUAUGUUGCGGUAUGUUGAAAACUGCAUUUUCUUGGUAUUUAAGGUUUACACUGUAAGAUUUCACAUUUUUCAUCUUCAUGUUAAAUUUUGCAAAUUUAUGUUAGACAUUUUUUUUAUAUAUAUGUAUAUAGCAGAUGACAAUAACACAGAUUUUAUGCUGCACCACUGUCACGGCUUAAUGAAUAUGUGGUGAUUUACAAGUUUCAAGUCAAAAAACCUGACAAACGUGAACAGUUUAGUUAUCUAUUUCAGAAAGGUUACAGUGGUGCCCAGCACAUUUGUUAGAAAGUUCUUAUUUCUGUGUAUGUGCCAAUUCCAUAUGAUAUGGAUUAUUCAUUUGAAACACACUGCACCGGGGUUGAAGUGAUAAUGUUGUGUCAUAUCUGUUCAAACUUUUGCACUAAUAUAAGUGCUUGCUGCUUUUUGGAAGAUGUUACAAGUUCUUUGUAAUCAGUGUUCACAGGGUUGUGAGAAGUUUGCACAGCCCAAAAAGUUUUCAUUAAAUG